UUUCCAGAGAUGGAUUGGUGCCUUCGGGAACUGUGAGACAGGUGCUGCAUGGCUGUCGUCAGCUCGUGUUGUGAAAUGUUGGGUUAAGUCCCGCAACGAGCGCAACCCUUAUCCUUUGUUGCCAGCGGUUCGGCCGGGAACUCAAAGGAGACUGCCAGUGAUAAACUGGAGGAAGGUGGGGAUGACGUCAAGUCAUCAUGGCCCUUACGACCAGGGCUACACACGUGCUACAAUGGCGCAUACAAAGAGAAGCGACCUCGCGAGAGCAAGCGGACCUCAUAAAGUGCGUCGUAGUCCGGAUUGGAGUCUGCAACUCGACUCCAUGAAGUCGGAAUCGCUAGUAAUCGUAGAUCAGAAUGCUACGGUGAAUACGUUCCCGGGCCUUGUACACACCGCCCAUGACACCAUGGGAGUGGGUUGCAAAAGAAGUAGGUAGCUUAACCUUCGGGAGGGCGCUUACCCCCUUUUAAUAAUGGGGAC
rnacentral:rRNA from 1 species